CGGUCACCCGCAGGAGAGUGAUGGCCGCCAGGCCAUCCGCCGAAGGCGCAAACUCCAAUAAUCGCUCAGGCUCAGCACUGCGGACCCCCA
rnacentral:ncRNA from 2 species